rnacentral:rRNA from 1 species
GACGGGGGAUGCAAGCGUUAUCCGGAAUCACUGGGCGUAAAGCGUCUGCAGGUGGUGAUGCAAGUCACUGGUGCAAAACUCUGGCUCAACCGGAGGAAAGCCAGUGAAACUGCAUGACUAGAGUGUGGGAGAGGUAGAAGGAAUUCCCUGAGUAGCGGUGAAAUGCGUAGAUACAGGGAAGAACACCGGAGGCGAAAGCGUUCUACUGGAACACAACUGGCACUGAGAGACGAAAGCUAGGGGAGCGCAUGGG